UACAGAGGGGGCAAGCGUUGUUCGGAAUUACUGGGCGUAAAGGGCGCGUAGGUGGCCUUCUAAGUUGAACGUGAAAUCCCUGGGCUCAACCUAGGAACUGCGUCCAAGACUGGGAGGCUUGAAUCCGGGAGAGGGAUGCGGAAUUCCAGGUGUAGCGGUGAAAUGCGUAGAUAUCGGGAGGAACACCAGUGGCGAAGGCGGCUUCCUGGCCUGUUCUUGACGCUGAGGCGCGAAAGCUAGGGGAGCAAACGGG
rnacentral:rRNA from 1 species